AAUGUAAGCUCCUCAAGAACAGGGACAAUGUUUUCUGUAUGUUCUAUUGUGCCUAGUACACUGUAAAUGCUCAAUAAAUAUUGAUGAUGGGAGGCAGUGAAUCUUGAUAAGGGUGAGAAACUGAAAUCCCAAACACUGUUUUGUUGCUUGUUUUAUUAUGACCUCAGAUUAAAAUGGGAAAUAUUGGCCCUUUUGGAUAAUUAUCCCAAAU
rnacentral:lncRNA from 10 species